GAUGAACGCUGGCGGCGUGCCUAAUACAUGCAAGUCGAGCGAACAGACGAGGAGCUUGCUCCUCUGACGUUAGCGGCGGACGGGUGAGUAACACGUGGAUAACCUACCUAUAAGACUGGGAUAACUUCGGGAAACCGGAGCUAAUACCGGAUAAUAUAUUGAACCGCAUGGUUCAAUAGUGAAAGACGGUUUUGCUGUCACUUAUAGAUGUAUCCGCGCCGCAUUAGCUAGUUGGUAAGGUAACGGCUUACCAAGGCAACGAUGCGUAGCCGACCUGAGAGGGUGAUCGGCCACACUGGAACUGAGACACGGUACAGACUCCUACGGGAGGCAGCAGUAGGGAAUCUUACGCAAUGGGCGAAAGCCUGACGGAGCAACGCCGCGUGAGUGAUGAAGGUCUUCGGAUCGUAAAACUCUGUUAUUAGGGAAGAACAAAUGUGUAAGUAACUAUGCACGUCUUGACGGUACCUAAGCAGAAAGCCACGGCUAACUACGUG
rnacentral:rRNA from 1 species